rnacentral:rRNA from 1 species
AACGGCCGCGGUAUCCUAACCGUGCGAAGGUAGCGUAAUCACUUGUUCUUUAAAUGAGGACUAGUAUGAAUGGCAUCACGAGGGUUACACUGUCUCCUCCCUCUAAUCAGUGAAACUGAUCUUCCCGUGAAGAAGCGGGAAUAAAUCUAUAAGACGAGAAGACCCUAUGGAGCUUUAAACACACUACAAUUGCCCCCCCCCUUACUAAUCUCUGGAAAACUACUUACCCGGGCACUUUGAUGGCAAGUUUUAGGUUGGGGUGACCGCGGAGCAAAAAAUAACCUCCACAGCGAAUGGGACUUUCCCUUUAACUCAGGACUACAACCCUAAGAAUCAAUAAAUUGACACCAAUUGACCCAAUUUUUUUGACCAACGAACCAAGUUACCCUAGGGAUAACAGCGCAAUCUACUUCAAGAGCUCCUAUCGACAAGUGGGUUUACGACCUCGAUGUUGGAUCAGGGUACCCCAGUGGUGCAGCCGCUGCUGACGGUUCGUUUGUUCAACGAUUAAAACCC